CCUAUGGAGAGUAUAAAAAAAAUGUGAGUAGUAUUUAGAUUUAUUAUUCAAUACAAAAACAUACUCGGCGAAAUAGGAA
rnacentral:ncRNA from 1 species